UACGGGGGGGGCAAGCGUUGUUCGGAAUUACUGGGCGUAAAGGGCUCGUAGGCGCCAACUAAGUCAGACGUGAAAUCCCUCGGCUUAACCGGGAACUGCGUCUGAUACUGGAUGGCUAGAGGUUGGGGAGAGGGAUGCGGAAGUUCCAGGUGUAGCGGUGAAAUGCGCAGAUAUCGGGAGGACACCAGAGCGAAGGCAGCUCGCUGGGACGGUACUGACGCUGAGGCGACGAAAG
rnacentral:rRNA from 1 species